rnacentral:SRP_RNA from 1 species
GUCUAGAUGCUUUGCACAUUUCUGCCAGAAAACCCCGCCAGAUCCGGAAGGAAGCAACGGUAUUUGGUUUGAAGUGGUGCCGAAGAUUAUCUAGGCUCU